AGCUUUUUUUCUCCUGCUCUGGAGGGUAGGAUCCAAACCAGGGGUAGGCAACCUAUGCCCUGUGGGCUGGAUGCGGCCCAAUCGCCUUCUCAAUCUGGCCCGGGGAUGGUUUGGGAAUCAUCGUGUUUUUACAUGAAUAGAAUGUGUCCUUUUAUUUAAAAUGCAUCUCUGGGUUAUUUGUGGGGCAUAGGAAUUCGUUCAUUUUUUUCCUUCAAAACAUAGUCCGGUCUACCACAUGGUCUGAGGGAUGGUGGACAGGCCCACGGCUGAAAAAGGCUGCUGACCCCUGAUCUAAACCAAUGGCUUCAGGUUGCAUGAACAUCAAGAAGAACUUUCUGACAAAAUGCUUGCCUUCCUGGACUCCUUCCGAAAGAAGGACAAGAUACAAAUGUAAUAAUUAAAAUUAAUGAAUUAAUGAAUAAUAAACAAAAA